AUCGUCUUGGUGUUUUUGUACAUGCUAGUUUUUCGUACUUGAUAAUACUAUCAUA
rnacentral:tRNA from 1 species